UGCCCAGCAACUCCUAUCCCUACCUCCACGCGGUACCGGCCGGAAACUAUGAGCAACCUUAGGGAAGAUCGGGUAACCAACCCCGAUGGGAACUUUGGUCGUAGGCUGACAGGGAAGG
rnacentral:ribozyme from 1 species